ACUCGUUACAUAUGAGAAAAUCGAAGGAAGAAGGGGUUUCUUUCGGCCUCCAGCGGCAUUAGAAAGUUGUAGGCCGGCGGAAACUACUUGCUUCCGUCGUUUAAAAACAUCUGAUUAAUAA
rnacentral:precursor_RNA from 11 species